rnacentral:rRNA from 1 species
UACAGAGGGUGCGAGCGUUAAUCGGAGUUACUGGGCGUAAAGGGCGCGUAGGCGGUCAUUUAAGAUUGAUGUGAAAUCCCUGGGCUUAACCUAGGAACUGCAUUGAUUACUGGAUGGCUGGAGUACUGUAGAGGGUAGUGGAAUUUCCGGUGUAGCGGUGAAAUGCGUAGAGAUGUGGAGGAAUACCGAUGGCGAAGGCAGCCCCCUGGGCCAAUACUGACGCUCAUGCACGAAAGCGUGGGGAGCAAACAGG